rnacentral:ncRNA from 2 species
ACAGAAGAUAGAGGUGGGUCAAACAAGAGUAACUAAGCUGAGGUUGGGAGAUACCUGUGAUGCUUAGAGAAAGGGGAUGGCUCCGAAGGGUGGAUUUCUCUCAAAUUCAUGCCUGGUUCCCGGAUUAAGAGUUCUGGAACUGUCACCGUUUAUCGGUGAAGAGCUAUCGUUUUA